rnacentral:rRNA from 1 species
AACGGGUGAGUAAUGCGUGACCAACCUGCCCCAUGCUCCAGAAUAGCUCUUGGAAACGGGUGGUAAUGCUGGAUGCUCCAACUUGACGCAUGUCUUGUUGGGAAAGUGUUUAGUGGCAUGGGAUGGGGUCGCGUCCUAUCAGCUUGUAGGCGGGGUAAUGGCCCACCUAGGCUUCGACGGGUAGCCGGCCUGAGAGGGCGGACGGCCACAUUGGGACUGAGAUACGGCCCAGACUCCUACGGGAGGAGCAGCG